AUUGAACGCUGGCGGCAGGCUUAACACAUGCAAGUCGAGCGGGGUGAUGGUGCUUGCACUAUCACUUAGCGGCGGACGGGUGAGUAAUGCUUAGGAAUCUGCCUAUUAGUGGGGGACAACAUCUCGAAAGGGAUGCUAAUAUCGCAUACGUCCUACGGGAGAAAGCAGGGGAUCACUUGUGACCUUGCGCUAAUAGAUGAGCCUAAGGCGGAUUAGCUAGUUGGUGGGGUAAAGGCCUACCAAGGCGACGAUCUGUAGCGGGUCUGAGAGGAUGAUCCGCCACACUGGGACGGAGACACGGCCCAGAAUCCUACGGGAGGUAGCAGUGGGGAAUAUUGGACAAUGGGGGGAACCCUGAUCCAGCCAUGCCGCGUGUGUGAAGAAGGCCUUAUGGUUGUAAAGCACUUUAAGCGAGGAGGAGGCUCUUUUGGUUAAUACCCAAGAUGAGUGGACGUUACUCGCAGAAUAAGCACCGGCUAACUCUGUGCCAGCCGCCGCCGUAA
rnacentral:rRNA from 1 species